rnacentral:misc_RNA from 1 species
GGGUAAUCAAUUUUGGAUUUUAAAUUAAAAAAUUAAAAACUUGCAAUGUCACCAAACAGGCUGGAGAAGAAAAACACACUAUAGGGAGAAAAAAGUUCAUAAUCGAUGUGGAAAGGAAAAAGGCCAGCUCUACCAAAUAUCCAUUCCAUUGAAGUUCUUUACCAAAUAAAAAAAUUAUGAAUAGAAAUGUACCAUUUUAUUGGCCCAUAUUCUGUACAUGAAAUCUGUUAAGAGCACUCCUAAGUUAUGUCCAUGAAUAUAUUGACAAAACCAAGAUGCUGGAGCAGAAUAAGCACCUGUAGAAUUAUCAUCUAUGGUGAAGAUGUGAUGAGAUAGAAGUAUCAAAAAGAUAUGUGGUUGAUGACAACAUUUGUUGAAGAGGAUCACCAAAAUGCCUAGAUUUUUGCUUCAUUCUAAAAACUGGAUCUCAAAUAAGAAUUUUGGAGAUCAUAUUUCAGUCGAGUAACAAGGAUACCUUCUCUUUGAGACUGCUCUUCUUCUUUGUCAGGGGAACUAUUUCUUCUCUAAUAUCAUUCUGACUUUGCUUUCUCAACUCAAAGGCUAAAUCCACAUCUUCUGAGAAAAACCCACUUCUCUUUUUAUCCUGGAGCAGCGGUUUCUUGAGCAAGGGGCCCAAGAACAAAUGAAGCAUGUCCUGAGUAGGAUCCCUUGUAUGGUUGACAUUGAUGAAGCUUUGCUCACUUGUCAAACUCACAGUUGAAGAACAAGAAGUAGUGGUUUCACUGCUGGGUAAUCGCUGCUCAUUACAAGGAGCAAUGAAAGACCCUUCCAAAUCAUUGCUCAAAGAUGUUAUUGUUGGAUGUUGUCUUUGUGGUUCACAUUUUCUAUUUAAUGGCUGUUUCGGCUCUGAAUUCUGAUUGACCUCCAUGUAUAGAUCUUCAACCGUCAAGCCUUC